CAACCUAACCCUACCUGCUGUGACCAGGUGGAGGUGUGUGGUGGAAGGGGAAAGCCGGCCGGCUGGCAAAGCGCUGCGGAGAAAGACACGAGGCUCCUGAGCAGGGAAAGCCGAGGUUGCCACCGCAGGCCUGGCACGACCAGGGCCGUGAUGCCCCGCCCGGCCCGACCCCCGCGCGCAGAGGUACCUGGAGACGAUUUCAACUGAAGUAAUGAAGGCAGUGUCGUGCUGUCGAGAGAAAGGUGGAUCCCAACAACAGGAAACUACCUAAAUCACCGACCAGUUCUGGUGCUGCCCGCGAAGGGCUGCCUCGCCCGCCGCCGCCGCCGCCUCCGCCGCUGCCGCCGCCGCCAAGGAGAGAACCCUGCCAUCGCGCCUGGCCCGGCCCAGCCCAGCCCCUAGGCAACCUGCGCCCGCCAGUGCAACAGAGUGCCCCAGGCGGCCGCAAAUGCGUCAAGGAAGGGGAAGCCACAGGCCCCAGUAAGCCAAAGUCAAGCCCGUUUGCCAACCUGCAUGUCCAUGCCUGUAAGCCCUUCUCUUGGCCAAGGAAGAAAGGAAGAAAGAAAAAAGAAACCCAGGGGCCUGUAUCCCCUGAUUAAACACAGCACAGCACUCCAGGCAGACAUGCCCGGUGGCGGCUCCUUUGCACCAUUGACCUCAGGCCAGACACCUCAGCGCCAACAAUGGGACCUCGGCCUUCCGGCUAGGUUUGCCCCAGGCUGGGCAGGAAACCAGCUCGGCCGAAGACAGGGGCCAUUUCGAGCAGUGGGACCCCAAGACAGCAAACCCAGCCCAGUCAGGACUUGACACUUAGGACAAUAUCUAUCUCUAUAGAAUUUUAGCAUGAUAUGGCUUUUUCCCCCAGAAAACAACAAAUAAACCAGCACCAAGCAAACACAAAGAAACAAAAAGUCAGAACAAACCAGCCCUGCACAGAUGUAACGGCCCAGGAGAUGGCGAGUGUGGGAGGGAGGAACAGGGCUCCAGCACAGGUGCGAGUUCCUGGGCAGAGCCUGAAGACAGAGGGAGGGGACCAGCGCUCGGGAAGUGAAAAAACCGCGUCGCCUGGAGAUUCAUCAGGAAAAAUUAAAGUUGGCUGUGAGCUCCCGGAUCCGGUUUUCUCGAUUCAUUUUCUUCAGUUUCAUCCUGCGGUUCUGAAACCAGAUUUUCACUUGUCUGUCCGUGAGGUGGACGCUGCGGCUAAUCUCUAGGCGCCGCUCUCGAGUAAGGUACAUAUUGAACAGAAACUCCUUCUCCAGCUCCAGUGUCUGGUGCUUCGUGUAGGGGCAGCGCUUCUUCCGACCACUCUUUGCCGUGAGCCAGUUGGCUGCGUUUUCACCUUUGGAAUUGCCUGGCAUGUAAGAGAAUAAAGAGGGGAUGAUUAAGUCGAGGCCACACGGGCUGCCCGCGGGGGUGAAUUGCCUCCGUUUCUCCCAUAAGAGAGAUGUCCCAAGUCACAGAGAAGAGAGUCGUGCCCCCGUUUUUGGCUUGCUGAGAGCAAGCAGUUCCUCCAAAAGUCAUGACAAAAAUUGAGUGGGCCUUCAAUCUACAUGACCCUUCCAAUUUACAUUUCCC
rnacentral:lncRNA from 1 species